rfam:Capsicum annuum cultivar Zunla-1 chromosome 12, whole genome shotgun sequence
UUUUGAUGGUGAGGGCAUUCCCUGAGAAUAUAUUUGAACCUCUCCCAUGCUUAAUACAAGUUCUCAUCUGGCUUAUUCUUAAAACAUAAAUUUUACUAUGUAACCU